CCCGCUGAACUUAAGCAUAUCAAUAAGCGGAGGAAAAGAAACUAACAAGGAUUCCCCUAGUAACUGCGAGUGAAGCGGGAAAAGCUCAAAUUUAAAAUCUGGCGGUCCUUGUGGCCGUCCGAGUUGUAAUUUAGAGAAGUGUUAUCCGCGCUGGACCGUGUACAAGUCUCCUGGAGUGGAGCGUCAUAGAGGGUGAGAAUCCCGUCUUUGACACGGACUGCCAGGGCAUUGUGAUACGCUCUCAAAGAGUCGAGUUGUUUGGGAAUGCAGCUCAAAAUGGGUGGUAAAUUCCAUCUAAAGCUAAAUAUUGGGGAGAGACCGAUAGCGAACAAGUACCGUGAGGGAAAGAUGAAAAGAACUUUGGAAAGAGAGUUAAACAGUACGUGAAAUUGCUGAAAGGGAAACGCUUGAAGUCAGUCACGUCUGCCAGGACUCAGCCUCGCUUCUGCUUGGUGUACUUUCUGGUUUGAUGGGCCAACAUCAAUUUUGACCGUUGGAGAAAGGCUUUGGGAAUGUGGCACCUUUGGGUGUGUUAUAGCCCUUUGUCGUAUGCAGCGGUUGGGAUUGAGGACUGCAGCACGCCUUCAUGGCCGGGGUUCGCCCACGUACGUGCUUAGGAUGUUGGCAUAAUGGCUUUAAGCGACCCGUCUUGAAACACGG
rnacentral:rRNA from 1 species